UGGAGAAACAAAAAAUCUCUCAUUUCCGACGUGAAUAGAUUUUUUUUAUUCGAAAUAAAGGUUCUUGUCUUGUGGGAAACGAUGCACACAUUUUUUGAAUCCGGUACCAACAGGUAUAAUCCCCACAUAACUACGUUUUCUUUCAAGCCUUUCAACCAAUCAAUGCGACCUAGUAGGACAGCUUUUGCUAAAACUCGAGCAAUUUCUUGA
rnacentral:rRNA from 1 species